GACGAACGCUGGCGGCGUGCUUAACACAUGCAAGUCGAACGGAAAGGCCCUGCUUUUGUGGGGUGCUCGAGUGGCGAACGGGUGAGUAACACGUGAGUAACCUGCCCUUGACUUUGGGAUAACUUCAGGAAACUGGGGCUAAUACCGGAUAGGAGCUCCUGCUGCAUGGUGGGGGUUGGAAAGUUUCGGCGGUUGGGGAUGGACUCGCGGCUUAUCAGCUUGUUGGUGGGGUAGUGGCUUACCAAGGCUUUGACGGGUAGCCGGCCUGAGAGGGUGACCGGCCACCUUGGGGCUGGGGAUCCGCCCAAGCUCCUUCGGGGAGCAAGAGUGGGGAAUUAUUCACAAUGGGCCGAAGCCUGAUGCAGCAACCCCGCGUGCGGGAAGACCGCCUUCGGGUUGGAAACCGCUUUCGCCUGUGACGAAGCGUUGGGGACGGUAAUGGGUAAAGGAGCACCGGGUAACUACGUG
rnacentral:rRNA from 1 species